rnacentral:rRNA from 1 species
UACGGAGGAUGCGAGCGUUAUCCGGAUUUAUUGGGUUUAAAGGGUGCGUAGGCGGGAUGCCAAGUCAGCGGUAAAAAUGCGGUGCUCAACGCCGUCGAGCCGUUGAAACUGGCGUUCUUGAGUGGGCGAGAAGUAUGCGGAAUGCGUGGUGUAGCGGUGAAAUGCAUAGAUAUCACGCAGGACUCCGAUUGCGGAGGCAGCAUACCGGCGCCCUACUGACGCUGAGGCGCGAAAGCGUGGGUAUCGAACAGG